AAAACUUACCAGGUCAAGACAUGGGCGUGAUUGACAGGCUAAUGACUUUUCUCGAUUCCAUGGAUGGUGGUGCAUGGUCGCACUUAGUUGGUGCAGUGAUUUGUCAGGUUUAUUCCGGUAACGAACGAGACCUCGGCCUUGUAAAUAGCUAUGCUGCUUACAGGGACAUUGGCGGCUACGCCAAGGAAGCUCGAGGCAAUUGCAGAUCUGGAAUGCCCUUAGAUGUCCUGGGUCGCACGCGUGCUACAAUGACGCCACGAACGAGCUUGCGUGAUGAAAGUUACGCAUAAUCAGCAGUCGGCGUCUUAAGGGAUAGUCUCUUGUAACUGUGGGACUCCAACUAGGAAUGUCUCGUAAGCACAAGUCAACAUCUUGUGUUGAUUACGUCCCUGUUCUUUGUACACACCGCCCGUCGCUCCUACCGAUCGAGUGUUUAGGUGAAUUUGAUGGACGUAAGGAAGUCAAAUAAACCUGAGCACUAGAGAAGAGAAGUCGAGAUC
rnacentral:rRNA from 1 species